UGACCACAUCACAUUGAAACCCCAGUUCCUGUACAAUCACUAAAGUUAAGCAAUGUCAGGCUUGGUCAGUACCUUUAUGGAUGACUGCUUGGGAAUACCAAGUGCUGUAAG